rnacentral:tRNA from 1 species
GGGGUUGUGGCUCAGUGGUAGAGAGCUCACCUAGCAUGUGGGAGGUCCUGGGUUCAAUCCUCAGCACCA